GGUGUUUCUGCAAUGUAUUUCAGGAGAACCAACUUCACUCACAUCUCAAAUGACCAUCCUGCCCUUGCCCUUAUUUUUUGUCUUCUUUUGGUCACCUCAAGUCCCUGCUUAGGACACAUUUCUCUUUCUGGGCCUGGAAACUCUCUGGAACAUGAUGCUUUUCGAUUUUUCCUCCAGCUCCAUUGGCAUGGCAAAACUUGGAUUCUUUUUUUUUCUGCACAAAGAACUGUGUAUGUAUCAACCUAACAAGGCGUCAGGAGCAUUCUCCUAUGUCAACAAACAUGGACAUUCAACACAUUUCGAAUGCUUGCAGAGUGGUAAAUCCUGUGGUUGCACCACAGUAUAUUUGGCCAAUACCCUGCUGGUGGACAUUAGGGCCAUUUACUGAACAACUCUGCAGCUAUGUCAAGCUGAGCUGGAGAAUGGGGCCGAGAUACAAGCAGCUGGGGACAAGCCAGGUACUUACUCCAGUGGGAGAAGGGCGCCCUCACAGCGUGUGCUACAUCCAGGCAAGGGCAUGGGUUGGCAUGAAUUUUAACUUCUUGUUUCUGUAUCUUUGGCCUUUAUGCUUAUUAAAA
rnacentral:lncRNA from 1 species